rnacentral:rRNA from 1 species
GACGUAGGGCGCGAGCGUUGUCCGGAUUUAUUGGGCGUAAAGAGCUCGUAGGCGGCUUGUCGCGUCGUCCGUGAAAACCCACAGCUCAACUGUGGGCUUGCGGUCGAUACGGGCAGGCUAGAGUUCGGUAGGGGAGACUGGAAUUCCUGGUGUAGCGGUGAAAUGCGCAGAUAUCAGGAGGAACACCGAUGGCGAAGGCAGGUCUCUGGGCCACUACUGACGCUGAGAAGCGAAAGCAUGGGGAGCGAACAGG